UACUUGGAUGGGUGACCGCCUGGGAACA
rnacentral:sRNA from 1 species